UAAGCCUGAUGAAAAAGAAUGUAAAAUGAUGCCAGAUAAAAGACUUGCAACACGCAUGAAUGGGGCCAGAAAACAAAGCCCGCAAGAGUGCCGAUAUACUCUCCAUAUACCCUCUCUAUACUCCAUUUAUAAACAGUUAAAAGCAAUAAGAAAACGUACAAACGGAGCUGACAACAUAUGCCUCAAAUAGAGACCCCCAUGGAUGUCGAUGUUUAUUUAUGCUUGAGUCAGAAAUUAAGAUCCUUUUUAGCUGACGACGCAGUUUGUCGCCGAUAUGCGAGUCCUUGUGAAUGAGAGGGCACAAUUUAUGCCAAGUGCUUGGGGCGGGAUGCGCACACUCUGGAGCACACACUUCCGGCACGGCCACAUCAGGCUUGACUUGACUUGACUCCACAAACUUGGCUAGUCUCUUGAAGAGGAGCAGCAGCAGCAGCUGGCAGCUAACUGGGCGUGGCUACGCCCUGAUGUCUCAGGCAUGCAGUAGAGAGCACUGUUAACAAUUCAGGACACAAAGGCGAGCGCCCGCUGACAGAAGAGUAUGCAGCAAUAAUGUUAAUAAUAAUAAUAACAAUAAUCAGCUGCCUCUGCCGCAAUUUGACUUACCACACGAGGGACACAUAAAGACGUUGCCGCUCCCACACUGGAGCUACGAGUCGAGGCAUGCAGCAUUCUUUGGAUACAAACUCAUCAUAGUUUUCUGAGACUGAAGACCUAAUCAACUGCUAGAGACCCCUACAUUGGAAAGCAGAGUUUCCUCCAACUUAACGAACAAGCUCUUGACUCCCAGCCACUUUCUUUCUUAUGACUAUCUCCUCUUGUUGCACAUCUUUUCCUUCUGAUCCUUAUUUCUUACUCAAAUCCAUCUUAAGCACCACACUCAGCUAUGAAAAAGGUUUUCGGUAUCAAAUCCCAGGCCUAGUUUAAGGUAUUUGCCCAAAAGCUUAUCUAUUCAAGUUGUUGCUGCCCCUAACCUAAAGCAGCUCCUGAUUUAACUAAAUGUAUGCUCACUCGCAGGCUGCAGUUAACAGAAAUCCGGUAACAAAUUUUCAGUAAAAAGCUAAUUUAUUAAUGCAAUGAUUCAUGGUAUUCAUGGGUAUUCACUUAAGUGAAUAUUAUUGCGAGCAAAAUAAAAGAUGAAAUAAUGCCGCUAAAUCAAUAAAAGUUUCCAGGGCUUAAAACCAGCCGGAAAGUGUCCUUGUGCGCCUCUCAAUGGCAGUUGGCGACAGUCGCUAAGUCGCUAGGCUUUACAAAAUAUGCCGAUAUCCUUCUUCUUUUUUUUUGGUAUUUUUCGUAAAUGUUUUCGUGUUUGCUUUUUGGACGCGUUGCAUCGCUUGUUGAGGCAUUUUUAUUGACUUACUUUCGAGUGGCAACGGAAAAGUUU